AGUGAACGCUGGCGGUAGGCCUAACACAUGCAUGUCGAACGGCAGCACAGUAAGAGCUUGCUCUUACGGGUGGCGAGUGGCGGACGGGUGAGGAAUACAUCGGAAUCUACUUUUUCGUGGGGGAUAACGUAGGGAAACUUACGCUAAUACCGCAUACGACCUACGGGUGAAAGCAGGGGAUCUUCGGACCUUGCGCGAUUGAAUGAGCCGAUGUCGGAUUAGCUAGUUGGUGGGGUAAAGGCCCACCAAGGCGACGAUCCGUAGCUGGUCUGAGAGGAUGAUCAGCCACACGGGAACUGAGACACGGUCCAGACUCCUACGGGAGGCAGCAGUGGGGAAUAUUGGACAAUGGGCGCAAGCCUGAUCCAGCCAUCCCGCGUGGGUGAAGAAGGCCUUCGGGUUGUAAAGCCCUUUUGUUGGGAAAGAAAAGCAGCAGGUUAAUACCCCGCUGUUCUGACGGUACCCAAAGAAUAAGCACCGGCUAACUUCGUG
rnacentral:rRNA from 1 species